CCUACGGGAGGCAGCAGUGGGGAAUAUUGCACAAUGGGGGAAACCCUGAUGUAGCGACGCCGCGUGAGUGAAGAAGUAUUUCGGGAUGGAAAGCUCUAUCAGCAGGGAAGAAAAGGACGGUACCUGAGUAAGAAGCCCCGGAUAACUACGUGCCAGCAGCCGCGGUAAUACGUAGGUGGCAAGCGUUGUCCGGAUUUACUGGGUGUAACGGGCGUGCAGCCGGAGAGACAAGUCAGAUGUGAAAUCAACGGGCUCAACCCGUGAACUGCAUUUGAAACUGUUUCCCUUGAGUGUCGGAGAGGUCAUCGGAAUUCCUAGUGUAGCGGUGAAAUGCGUAGAUCUUAGGAAGAACUCCAGUGGCGAAGGCGGCUUACUGGACGAUACCUGACGGUGAUGCGCGAACGCGUGGGGAGCACACAGGAUUAGAUACCCGGGUAGUC
rnacentral:rRNA from 1 species